rnacentral:lncRNA from 1 species
GUGUCUCAUGGCUAUCUUAAAGAGACAAGGCUAUCUUAAAGUUGUGGUUUUCUGGAAGCUUCUAGGCAGUGAUAGGGCACAUCCUUGACUGGAACCAUUGUGUGGGAGAAACUAACAAAGGGAAAUCACAAGACAAAUGAGAUAAAUCUCAGGCAGAUAUGAAAGCAUUAUCUGCUUUUGCAAAUGAGUAUCAUCAGGAACCCAACACAUUUAAGUAAGAUCUCUGUCAGGAGUCUAAGAAAAUGGCACCACCAGUGUUGAGAAAUGGUUGAGAUGUGAGAUGGCAAAAUUUGACAUGGGGUGUAUUCAACUGACUUUUACUCAGAGUUAGACCCAUUGAAAUUCAUGGUCCAAAUCUUAGGUCUAUUCAUUCCAAUGGGUCUACUCUGAAUAAAGGUUAAUUGAAAACUACCACAUGCCUAGACCCCUCCAGAAACCCUUUUUAAAUUGUGCAUUUAUAAUCAUUUGUGCUCUUGAUUGUAUCAGGGUGGUUAUGUGCAGCCCUCUUUUUUAUGUUGUUGUUUCCUGCAGAAGUUUCGGAGUGGGCUUAUUGCUUCAUUUCCUGUUGGUGAAUAUCCUGUACCCUCCUGUUGAACUCCUGUAACUUAUUAGGCUACGAAUGUUACUUGCAUUAUGGCUCCCUAAGCCCUUGCACUAGUGGACAGAGAAUGCUGACAUAUGUAUUGUUACGCAGAACCCCAUUCUCUGAGCAAUGAGAGACUCCAGACGCUACAAGCACUUCCCCUAGGGUUUGGGUUCCUUGGACCGAAGGUUAAUGGAGACUGUGGGGUCUUUAAGGAUAUACCGUUUUAUUACACAUUUAUGCUCCCCUCACAGAGCUACGAAGCCUGAGUCUUCCCUCUGGGAAUUGUGGGGGGAAGAGGGCCCUCCUAACAACUCUCAGCAACCUUGACAAACUACACCUCCCAGAAUUCUCUGGGGGAAGCCAUAGCUGUUUAAAGUGAUAUCGUGGUGUUUUUAAUGUAUGGUGUGAAUGUGGCUUGCUGUUUCAGCUUUAGCUCUGACCCUCUCCUGAAGUCCACUGCCCACAAUUGCUUGUUUAUAAUUUACCCAGAAAUCCCUGGUGCCCAUUGCCAUGCCGAUGCCUCUUCUUUAUGCAAAAGGUGGGCACAGAUGUGGUUAUGGGGCUGGAGCUGCAUGCCACUAGGGAGAAACAGUCAAGCAUGCCUAAGACACUUCAGCCAACGCUUCCUUCCUUUGCUACCCCUUCUCUUCCACCACCCACUAAGUAUAGUUAUCACUUAAAUAGUUUGAGCCCUUUUAUAGCAGGGACGGAACAAGAAAGCUGACCUGCCUCUAAUCUUGUUCCUGUUCUCCAGUAGCCUCCUCUGACUGGCAUUAAUUUUCUAUUUCCAUCUUAUCCACCGAGCCUCAGCCAAGAAGGGGCAGCCGGGGGUGUUUUGCUGUGGGGUUUUGUGGCUUCCAAACUGAGCCAGACAAGGUCAAAGGGCAGAAGGAUGAAGAGAAGAUUAAUUGAUUGCCCCACAAUGGCCUGGCCUGUCUGAAGCAGCCAGAGGCUGUUGGGAGCAAGUCAGCCUGUUGAGGCCAGGGGACAUGUGCCCUGGUUGUGGGGGCUGCGCUGCCCCUUGCCCCCUCAUGGCAACUGCUUCGGGGGUGAGUGGGUGGGUGAGGAAAAAGGAAUCUCCGUUGCAUUCAUCAUGAACAAAACCUGCCAUGCCACUACAAACCGUUUUUCAGUGGAGCUUCAACCAAGUCCUGUAAGAUGGGGCCAGCAAAUGAAUUUAGAUGACCGUUUGCCGGAGGAGGGGAGAAGCCACCAUGGGCACAAUGAAAUAGUCUUCCCACAACCGAACUGUUGCAUGCAGUGCCUCAAAACAAGGACAGUCUUUCUCUGUUGAGCUCCACACCCUGUUUUGCACAGCAGAGGUACGCUCAAACAAACCACUUGAUUGUGGCAAAUCCAAGUGCUUUACAAGAAAUGUAAAUGAUAUUUCAAUAAAUUUGAAAUAUCAAAUUUAUUAAUAAAAAACAGUUUAAGACAUGUAAAAAAGAAUUAAAACUAAGAGCAAAAGGGAUGAAAACGCACCAGCGUCUACGUGUCUGGAGAUGCCCAAACAAAAAAGUUUUAAGAAGGCGCUGAAAGCAGCACAGCAAAGGUGCCUGUCUGAUAUCAACAGGCAUGGAGUUCCAAAGUAUAGUUGGUGCCACACUAAACAAUUGAUUUCUUACAACUGCAUAACAAGCCAGUUACAUGCCACUUCCUCAGAUGGAAGCAGUUGAGUGGGCACAUUUAUUUUUAUUUUUUAAUGGCAUGAUUGUUAAAUAUCAGGUGCCAGGGGAGGGUUCUUAUCAAGAUUGAAUGGCAUGGCCGGAGCAGGGGAAGUUUGAUUUCCCUAAGCGUUGGGGUUAGAAACUUCCCAUUGGUGCCCAAAUGGAAAUCCCAUUCAUUUUGUUUUCCCCAGCCAUUUACAAUUGCUUUGCAGUGAAGACAGUCCUGCACUCCUUCCCUGGCAUGAGAUGGGUAGCCUUGAGCACAGUACACAGGUCACAGGAAGGUCACAGGGACAGAGAAGAAAACGACAUUGGAAAGCUCUGCUUAGAACAGCCUUUAGCACUGAGACUUUUUUCAGCAAGAGGCUGCAUUCUCUCCUGGACCACCUUUGGAGGGCCAUAUGCCAGUGGAGAUUGGGAGCCAGAGGAAACAGUGAGUGCAGCAAUGAAUUUCAGAAUGGCACGGGGAAGCUAUUCUACCUACCCUGCACAGGUAAGGCAGAUUUAUUUAUUUCUAUCCCACACUGCCAACUACCCACUAUAGUGCAAAAAUAGGGUGACAGGGCCCACAAACACUCAUCUUACAGUAGCAAUUGUAUUGACUUACCAAAUUGUGGUUUUAAUACCUUUACACAAUUGUUCUCUCCUCCCUGCAGUCUCAUUUACAAGAGUUUCAUAUCUUGCUGCUGAAAUCCUGUCAGUAUAUCACAUACCCUUAUCAAGAAUAUAAAAGGGCUUUCCUUGCCUCUUGUGUUCAAAGAAUUAUAUAAUAGGGUUUUCCCAACUGAGCGUUUUGAUUGCUGUGCUCUUAGGGCCACCUUUCAUUUUUUAUGAGGCCAUUCUAGGACAACUUGGUGAUAUUACUGUGCUUUGCCAAAUGUACAAUUAAGCAAAAGUUUACACAGCCAGGGUAAAUAAAUGGCUGCUUUAUAUCACCUCUGUAGGCAUCGUGCCAAACUUGGAAGUGACCUGAAAACAUUACAAAAGCAUCACAAAAGGGGGCAGAAUGGGGAGGGAGGCAGGACAGGGUGUUUGCAGGCUUUUUCAAUGGCAUUUCAAAUAUACGUGAUUUCACUUAAACACAUGCUGCCUUGAAAUGUAACCCCUGCAUAAAUUGGUGGUUGCCUGUAUAUAUAGUUGCAUUUGGCCAACAAUACACAACUGUUGUUAUCUAGGUAUGUCAUGUUAUUACAUUUCCAGCUGCCCUGCCACAAAGAUUCUGCUAUACACAAGAACUGGUUACGUGCUCCAGUCUGCUAUACUAAGUCAGGAAAAGAAUAUUCUGCUAGCUGGUUCUCUUGCACAUGUGUAAGCCGCUUCGAAAAGAAUCCACUGUUCCUGUGAUCUUAAUACCAAAGGAGCAUUUAGUGUGCCUACCCAUAUGAGGUUAUUCUGUCGGAAAGCAGCUGACGUCGUUGAGGUGCGAAUAUGAAAUUUUUCCUAUUAACUCUCCCCAUUUCAGGAACCUGCUUUGCUGAGAUGUUUUAUUUUUGCCAUGUAACUUGGCACAGCCUCUGAGCUAAGUGCUCUUCAAAUAUGGAAAAUCUGCUGAAAAACAAAAAAUCUUUGAUUACCCACAGAACAUCCCCGAAGCAAUCAGGAAGGGCAAGACUACAGUUUCAACCACUGCUGGCAUGGGACUCAGAACUAAGUUCAAUUAAGGCUAAAUUCAAUAGGAUUUACUUCUGGAUAGAUGUGGAUAGCACUGUAGUGUCAUUUGGGAGUUGAAAGAAAUGAUGGGAUCCAGUCUAAGGCACAUUAUGAGUAUCAAUGACAGGCAAGGUAAAGUUGACAGAAGGCUUUAAAUGAAGAAAUGCAGCAGUUUCUGUGGGAAAGAUGCUCCUUUUCUUACAAGCCAACAAUUUUAAUGCAUUUUGAUUACAGUCCAAGUCCUUAAAAGUACUCACUGUGGUGCAAUGCAGAUUGUUGAGCAUAAUCUAUUCGGGGCUCUCAUGUAAGCCACACUGAAAUACAUGGAGUUUAGCUCCACCGUGAUGCCAUUUCUGUAAUGUGUGAUGAAACAGAGGCCUACCAGUACUUUCUUUAGAACACUAUCCUGUGUUUAGUUAUUAAGAGCUAUUAUAUCUGCGCUCUUCAAUCAAGUUAUAAAAGGGCAGUUACUUUUUAAAACCAUAGUAAAAUAGACAAGCUGAAAACAAGCAAAUUCAUAAAAGCCACAGCAAAGUAAUAGACAAGUG